rnacentral:lncRNA from 1 species
UAUAUAGAUGUCAUACUUGCUGUUAUGGAUAUCAGACACACGUAAUGAGGUGGCAGUGGAGACCAGGCAGAUGAGAGACAUCAGGGUGCUGGAAUUCAGUGUACAGCACAAUGCAGUCUUCCAAGUGUCUGAGUAUGAAGAGAGAAGCAGUGCAGUAGAAGCAAGGAACAGCAGACAGCACAGGCCGACUCCUAAGGGAAGUACUUGCCCGUUUGUCAGAAUCCUACCUCAGAACACGUCUAAUAGCUUGUAUCUUUCACAAAGCUCUGAGAGUUUGGAGGAUUUUACUGGAACAGUUCCUUCUUCAAGUCCUCCAAAGGAUCUUCACAAACCUCAGGGCUUGGACAGGAAUUUGCAUGACAGAACUUCUAUCACUGCUGCACCCCCGUCAGUGUAUGUGCUGUAUGGAUACCAGAUAUGUCAGUGCUGUUCCCCAGACACAGUUCAGUAA